GACGAACCGUGCGAACGUUAUUCGGAAUCACUGGGCUUAAAGCGCGUGUAGGCGGGAGGGCACGUCGGUCGUUGAAAUCCCCCGGCUCAACCGGGGAAGUGGCGCCGAUACGACCUUCCUGGAGGAACGUAGGGGGACCUGGAACUUCCGGUGGAGCGGUGAAAUGCGUUGAGAUCGGAAGGAACGCCCGUGGCGAAAGCGAGGUCCUGGACGUUUUCUGACGCUGAGACGCGAAAGCCAGGGGAGCAAACGGG
rnacentral:rRNA from 2 species